rnacentral:rRNA from 1 species
GAGUUUGAUCCUGGCUCAGAACGAACGCUGGCGGCAGGCUUAACACAUGCAAGUCGAGCGCSYMGCAAKGSGAGCGGCAGACGGGUGAGUAACGCGUGGGAAUCUACCCUUGACUACGGAAUAACGCAGGGAAACUUGUGCUAAUACCGUAUGUGUCCUUCGGGAGAAAGAUUUAUCGGUCAAGGAUGAGCCCGCGUUGGAUUAGCUAGUUGGUGGGGUAAAGGCCUACCAAGGCGACGAUCCAUAGCUGGUCUGAGAGGAUGAUCAGCCACAUUGGGACUGAGACACGGCCCAAACUCCUACGGGAGGCAGCAGUGGGGAAUAUUGGACAAUGGGCGCAAGCCUGAUCCAGCCAUGCCGCGUGAGUGAUGAAGGCCCUAGGGUUGUAAAGCUCUUUCACCGGAGAAGAUAAUG